rnacentral:rRNA from 1 species
GGAGCAGCCCAGAGCCUGAAUCAGUGUGUGUGUUAGUGGAAGCGUCUGGAAAGGCGUGCGAUACAGGGUGACAGCCCCGUACACAAAAAUGCACAUACUGUGAGCUCGAUGAGUAGGGCGGGACACGUGGUAUCCUGUCUGAAUAUGGGGGGACCAUCCUCCAAGGCUAAAUACUCCUGACUGACCGAUAGUGAACCAGUACCGUGAGGGAAAGGCGAAAAGAACCCCGGCGAGGGGAGUGAAAAAGAACCUGAAACCGUGUACGUACAAGCAGUGGGAGCACGCUUAGGCGUGUGACUGCGUACCUUUUGUAUAAUGGGUCAGCGACUUAUAUUCUGUAGCAAGGUUAACCGAAUAGGGGAGCCGAAGGGAAACCGAGUCUUAACUGGGCGUUAAGUUGCAGGGUAUAGACCCGAAACCCGGUGAUCUAGCCAUGGGCAGGUUGAAGGUUGGGUAACACUAACUGGAGGACCGAACCGACUAAUGUUGAAAAAUUAGCGGAUGACUUGUGGCUGGGGGUGAAAGGCCAAUCAAACCGGGAGAUAGCUGGUUCUCCCCGAAAGCUAUUUAGGUAGCGCCUCGUGAAUUCAUCUCCGGGGGUAGAGCACUGUUUCGGCAAGGGGGUCAUCCCGACUUACCAACCCGAUGCAAACUGCGAAUACCGGAGAAUGUUAUCACGGGAGACACACGGCGGGUGCUAACGUCCGUCGUGAAGAGGGAAACAACCCAGACCGCCAGCUAAGGUCCCAAAGUCAUGGUUAAGUGGGAAACGAUGUGGGAAGGCCCAGACAGCCAGGAUGUUGGCUUAGAAGCAGCCAUCAUUUAAAGAAAGCGUAAUAGCUCACUGGUCGAGUCGGCCUGCGCGGAAGAUGUAACGGGGCUAAACCAUGCACCGAAGCUGCGGCAGCGACGCUUAUGCGUUGUUGGGUAGGGGAGCGUUCUGUAAGCCUGUGAAGGUGUGCUGUGAGGUAUGCUGGAGGUAUCAGAAGUGCGAAUGCUGACAUAAGUAACGAUAAAGCGGGUGAAAAGCCCGCUCGCCGGAAGACCAAGGGUUCCUGUCCAACGUUAAUCGGGGCAGGGUGAGUCGACCCCUAAGGCGAGGCCGAAAGGCGUAGUCGAUGGGAAACAGGUUAAUAUUCCUGUACUUGGUGUUACUGCGAAGGGGGGACGGAGAAGGCUAUGUUGGCCGGGCGACGGUUGUCCCGGUUUAAGCGUGUAGGCUGGUUUUCCAGGCAAAUCCGGAAAAUCAAGGCCGAGGCGUGAUGACGAGGCACUACGGUGCUGAAGCAACAAAUGCCCUGCUUCCAGGAAAAGCCUCUAAGCAUCAGGUAACAUCAAAUCGUACCCCAAACCGACACAGGUGGUCAGGUAGAGAAUACCAAGGCGCUUGAGAGAACUCGGGUGAAGGAACUAGGCAAAAUGGUGCCGUAACUUCGGGAGAAGGCACGCUGAUACGUAGGUGAAGCGACUUGCUCGUGGAGCUGAAAUCAGUCGAAGAUACCAGCUGGCUGCAACUGUUUAUUAAAAACACAGCACUGUGCAAACACGAAAGUGGACGUAUACGGUGUGACGCCUGCCCGGUGCCGGAAGGUUAAUUGAUGGGGUUAGCGCAAGCGAAGCUCUUGAUCGAAGCCCCGGUAAACGGCGGCCGUAACUAUAACGGUCCUAAGGUAGCGAAAUUCCUUGUCGGGUAAGUUCCGACCUGCACGAAUGGCGUAAUGAUGGCCAGGCUGUCUCCACCCGAGACUCAGUGAAAUUGAACUCGCUGUGAAGAUGCAGUGUACCCGCGGCAAGACGGAAAGACCCCGUGAACCUUUACUAUAGCUUGACACUGAACAUUGAGCCUUGAUGUGUAGGAUAGGUGGGAGGCUUUGAAGUGUGGACGCCAGUCUGCAUGGAGCCGACCUUGAAAUACCACCCUUUAAUGUUUGAUGUUCUAACGUGGACCCGUGAUCCGGGUUGCGGACAGUGUCUGGUGGGUAGUUUGACUGGGGCGGUCUCCUCCUAAAGAGUAACGGAGGAGCACGAAGGUUGGCUAAUCCUGGUCGGACAUCAGGAGGUUAGUGCAAUGGCAUAAGCCAGCUUGACUGCGAGCGUGACGGCGCGAGCAGGUGCGAAAGCAGGUCAUAGUG